rnacentral:tRNA from 1 species
GGGUAGGUAUGCAUAGUGGCGAUUGCGGCGGGCUGUAAACCCGUUACAUUAGAAACACCGUAGGUUCGACUCCUACUCUGCCCA